UACGUAGGGUGCAAGCGUUGUCCGGAAUUAUUGGGCGUAAAGAGCUCGUAGGCGGUUCGUCACGUCGGCUGUGAAAUCCCGAGGCUCAACCUCGGGUCUGCAGUCGAUACGGGCGGACUGGAGUACUGCAGGGGAGACUGGAAUUCCUGGUGUAGCGGUGAAAUGCGCAGAUAUCAGGAGGAACACCGGUGGCGAAGGCGGGUCUCUGGACAGUUCCUGACGCUGAGGCACGAAGGCCAGGGGAGCAAACGGG
rnacentral:rRNA from 1 species